CUACCAUCACCAACUUUGCACGUUAGGAAGUUAAAUGCCAUGUAACUUUCCCCCAAAACACGCCUCUUCUUCUGGUAGGUAAACCCUAACCCCAAAUCGAUCCAUUGAAAAGUCCCCAAAUCAAAUACUCUCCAGACAAUUUCUAGAUCUGAAAUUGAAGAACAAAUCGUGGCCGGGGAGCUCGAAUUUGUAAAGUGCCAUUGGUGAAGCUGUUGACAUGGAUGGAAGAAACGGAGGUAAUUUCGAAUUUUUAUUUUCUAAAUACGCAUCAUUCACCUUCGUCGUCAGUGGCUUCGAUUUUUUAUUUUUCGGAAUAUGAUGAUAUUUGUCAGAUUGUUCCUUCGUCUUCAUCGUCUUCCAUUUUCAAAAUAUACUGUUGAGAUGAUCCAUUUCGUGUAUCAUUUUUAUUUGGUGAGUAGCCCAUGAACAUUGUAUUUAUUCAAAUUGAUUUACCUUGAGCAAAUUUUGAUUUUAGUCAAAAAGGGAAAAUGAUAUUGAGACAUAGGGCGUGCUAUUGUUGUUCCUGUUGCUUGAUAUGAGUUGUUUCCUGUUGAGAAUUCUGUUACGCUUCAUAUUUGAAUCGAUCAGAGUGGCCACGUGGAGGCAUUAUACACAGACAUCUGGCAGUCAGCGAACUCAAAGAGAGGGAACAAGCUGCUCUUUGGCCAAGGUGCUAUCCUUUCCCGAAGUUCUUUGUCGAAGCACUUCCUCAUAAAGCUGAACCUCUUCACAUUCGACGCUCCCUCUCUUGAGGCCAAAGUGCUCGCUGCCUUUAAAGUAGGUCUGAAGAGCAUCUUUAUGGAUGAUUGAUAAAACAUUUGUAUUAAUGCAUGUCACAGAGCGAUUGACCCCUUGUCAAUGUAAUUAAUGUAUGGCUGAGAGUGAUUUAUGUCUCGAUCGUUGGAAUGAGGCCAUGCGUUUUUGAUCCAACAAUGAUCACGUCUUAGCUCUAUAAAUAGCAGCUCUUGUAACAAGUAAAGAGAUUGGGAAAAAAAUAUACACAAAUUUUGUACAUCUGAUACCAUAUCGACCUUC
rnacentral:lncRNA from 1 species